rnacentral:rRNA from 1 species
AACGAACGCUGGCGGCAGGCCUAACACAUGCAAGUCGAGCGAGGACUUCGGUUCUAGCGGCGGACGGGUGAGUAACGCGUGGGAAUGUGCCCUUCUCUACGGAAUAGCCCUGGGAAACUGGGAGUAAUACCGUAUACGCCCUAUUGGGGAAAGAUUUAUCGGAGAAGGAUCAGCCCGCGUUGGAUUAGGUAGUUGGUGGGGUAAUGGCCUACCAAGCCGACGAUCCAUAGCUGGUUUGAGAGGAUGAUCAGCCACACUGGGACUGGGACACGGCCCAGACUCCUCCGGGAGGCAGCAGUGGGGAAUCUUAGACAAUGGGGGCAACCCUGAUCUAGCCAUGCCGCGUGAGUGAUGAAGGCCUUAGGGUUGUAAAGCUCUUUCAGCUGGGAAGAUAAUGACGGUACCAGCAGAAGAAGCCCCCGCUAACUCCGUG